rnacentral:lncRNA from 10 species
GCAACUUUUUUUUUUAAGUUACCGUUUCUUAAACAUCUCCUAAAGAUUACCAACAACACAUAUGUAAGUUUUUCUAAGCAUUUUACAUAUAUGGAUUCGUUGCCUUCCACAACAAUCCUAGGACAUAGGUACCAUUAGUAUCCCCAUUAUACAGAUUAAGAAACUGAGGUACAGGGAGGCUAAGUAACCAGCCCAGGCAGUGGAGCCGGGGUUCAAACCAGGCAGUCUGGCUGCAAAGUCCCUCUUCCUCACCACCACACUCAACAUUCCAGGCACUGUGCUAACUGUUUACACAAAUCCUCUCCAUUUUGCAGUUGAGAAACCCAAGACUCAGACCAGUUGGGCAACAGCUGAAGGUCACAUAGCUGGGAAGCAGUAGAGAUGAGAUUCAAAGUCGGCAGAGCUCCAGAGUCUCUGCUCUCCCCCACACCCUCCUGCAACCCUGCCAGACGCUCAGGCUUCCAAAGCAAGUUUAACCAAUAUCCCUGCAUUGCCACGCCUCUUCAGGCAAGUCAGCUUCUCCCCGCUGGGCCUCAGUUUCACCAUCUAGAAAAUGACUGGGGGAUUGGCCCAGCUGAUCUUUGAGGUCCCUUGGAGCUCUGUGAGUCUGUGAUGAGAAAGGUGUGGUGCUUCUAGCUGAAAGGGAAGACCUGUGGCCUGGGAAUACCUUGGGCUUGGCUUGGGGUUGCAGCCAGCAAGGAUGAGGGAGAUGAGGGCCUGGGGAUGAAAUGAAAAGGAAAUUUCAGGUGACUGGAGAAGGCUUAUUGGCUGUGAACCUGGGAAGAGGGUUCAGAUGUAUGAAGCAGGUAAGAAAAGAAGAGAGAAGCCCUGGGUGGGCCUCCCAGGGGGCCUUUUCCUUCUUCCCAGGGGUCACCCCAAGCUCAAGAUGGGCACAUGAGAGCCUCGGGCAAGGGAGCAGGGAUCAGGCCAGCACUGAACCGAGGUCAGAACUUCUGAGACACAGCAGUUCGAGGGAAUUGACAUUGCUGGGGGUUUUGUUUUCUCUGUAAAUAUUUGGAGAUGUCCAGUUAUUCUAGAAAAAUGUAUCUGCAGCUGAGGGGGCGCAUUUGUGCGGCUGGCCUGGCUGCCUUUUGCAUGACUGCUCUGUUACAUUCUUCCCCUUCAGGAACCGAGGGUUGUUUUCCCAUCUGUAACCUCAUUAGGAUGUCCACACCAGCGGGCUCCACACGCACAUGCGCUCCGGCAGGUUCCCCUCGGGGACACACACGCACACUGGCAUUGCCCCCUGGCCACACGCUCACGCACACAGUCGCAGCUGUGCCUUUUAAUAUUUAAUGCCAUUGCUGCAAACGCCGCUCCACGCUGACUGCAUCCGUGCCAGGCUCAUUCCUCUCAGGGCGCCAAUUCCCGGCUUGGAGACCAGCUGACAAAUCUUGUUAAAAACCUUCCAGCCCAGUGCAUCUCUCGGAGGAGGGUAAUGUCACGUGCUUGCGAGAUGAGCGAAUGGGUGUCAUUACCAGGCAGCUCCAUUUUCAACGAGGCUCUUUCCACUUGGGGAAAUGGAUGGAAUCACCUAUUGCAAGUCACGGCUCUGGGUGGCACCAAGGCACGAAAUGACACGGACACCUGGCCUGUGUGGGGGCCUUUGUCUGUCCCUCUCUCCCUGCUCCUCCACAGUCAGUAUCCACACUAUGGUUUGAAUUGUUUGUCCCCUCCAGAGGGCAUGGCAAGGCCCCAUCUCGGAAGCAGAGAGAGUCCACACCAGACACUGAAUCUGUUGGCGUCUUGAUCUUGGACUUCCAAUCCUCUAAAACUGUGAGAAAUACAUUUCUAUGGUUUGUAAAUUACUCCAUCGGUGGCAUUUUGUUGUACCAGCAGGAAGGGACUAUGACAUACACCACGGAGGCCACUGCUGCUACAGUGGCUAGCAGAGAGGAUCAUGGGUGGUUCCAGCUCUCAUGCCAGCAAAGGGUCUCAUCCCUGACCCCUAGUCCAGUAUGCUGUGGUCUCCAAGCCCACAGAAAGGCCCUCCCUCCAAACCCCAGCUUUCAGAGUCUAAGGGGCUGACAAAAGGUUAAGGGCUCUAGUUCUGGUCUGAGCUGGGACAGGUGAGCAGGCUACUGUGCAAGAGCUGCUAAAUGCAGAGUCCCCAGGUAUCGAGGUUACCCGGAAAAGUUGGCCUUCCCAAAGCUGCAGUAGGAUCAGCAUGUCCGGUUCAGUGCUGACUGUGCAGGCUUGGGGCCUAUCCCUUGAACUCUGGAAGGGUAUUUGCAAGAUGGACCUCCUGUCCUCAUCUUCCUUCUACCUUUCAGCCUCUUGGUCCUGUGUCACCAGACGGGCUCAGAGCAUUCCUGAGCAACUUUGUGGUUCUGAGCGUCUCUAAGAAACGAGGCCUGGGAGAGGGCAGGGAGGAGGGGAGAGGGGACGGUCAGGUGGGGUGUGGGGGAUUGCAAAACAAAGACACGCUCAUUUGCCAUUUACCAAAGACUUUUUUUUUCUUUUUCUUUUAAAGCUGUUGUUUCCUCAAGGGAAAACUUUAUCUGUGUGUGGGUAAAAUGUUGCUCUCUUAACGAAUCGAAAGCAGAACAUGAGG